rnacentral:rRNA from 1 species
UAAUUGAAGAGUUUGAUCCUGGCUCAGAGCGAACGCUGGCGGCGUGCUUAACACAUGCAAGUCAAACGGCCCUGCGGUAGCAAUACUGCGGGGUAGUGGCGAACGGGUGAGUAACACGUGGGUAAUCUUCCCCCGAGUGAGGAAUAAGUCUGCGAAAGCGGGUCUAAUACCGCAUGACGUCCUAAGGCAUAAGCCUUAGGAUUAAAGCCGUAAGGCGCUUGGGGAUGAGCCUGCGUCCUAUUAGCUAGUUGGUAGGGUAAUGGCCUACCAAGGCGAUUAUG